AUUGAACGCUGGCGGCAGGCCUAACACAUGCAAGUCGAGCGGGAACUUCGGUUCUAGCGGCGGACGGGUGAGUAAUGCGUAGGAAGCUACCCGACAGAGGGGGAUACCAGUUGGAAACGACUGUUAAUACCGCAUAAUGUCUACGGACCAAAGUGUGGGACCUUCGGGCCACAUGCUGUCGGAUGCGCCUACGUGGGAUUAGCUAGUUGGUGAGGUAAUGGCUCACCAAGGCGACGAUCCCUAGCUGGUUUGAGAGGAUGAUCAGCCACACUGGAACUGAGACACGGUCCAGACUCCUACGGGAGGCAGCAGUGGGGAAUAUUGGACAAUGGGCGAAAGCCUGAUCCAGCCAUGCCGCGUGUGUGAAGAAGGCCUUCGGGUUGUAAAGCACUUUCAGUAGGGAGGAAGGGGUUGUAGUUAAUAGCUGCAACUUUUGACGUUACCUACAGAAGAAGCACCGGCUAACUCUGUGCCAGCCGCCGCAGUAAGAC
rnacentral:rRNA from 1 species